GGUUAAUUCCGAUAACGAACGAGACUCUAGCCUAUUAAAUAGGUGCGUGGUUCUCUGCACCUUGCACCCUUCUUAGAGGGACAAGCGGCUCCUAGCCGCACGAAACAGAGCAAUAACAGGUCUGUGAUGCCCUUAGAUGUCCGGGGCCGCACGCGCGCUACACUGAAGGAAGCAGCGUGUUUUUAUCCCUGUCUGUAAAGACUGGGUAACCCGUGGAACCUCCUUCGUGAUUGGGAUAGGGGCUUGCAAUUGUUCCCCUUGAACGAGGAAUUCCCAGUAAGCGCGAGUCAUAAGCUC
rnacentral:rRNA from 1 species